rnacentral:tRNA from 1 species
GCCUUCAUGGUGUAGUGGUCUGCAUGCUAGACGCGUAACCGAGAGGUCCGUGGUUCGAUUCCCGGCGAAGGCG